AAUAAUACCAUAUAAUAAUAUUAAUUAUAUAUUCUAUAUUACAUAUAAUAUUACUAAUAAUAUUACAGUAUUGUGGUAUAGUUCAAUAUAGUAAUAUAUAAUGCUAAUAUUGUGCUAUGCUAAUAAUAUAAUAUAUUGUAUGUACAUAUAAUUUGUAAGCCACUCUGAGUCCCCUUUGGGGUCAGAAGAGUGUGGUACAAAUGUAGUAAAUAAAUGUAGUAAAUAAUAAAUAAAUACAUAAAUAAAUAAAUUUUAGACUUAGGCUCACCCAAAGUCUGAAAUGACUUGAAGGCACACAACAACAACAACAACAACAACAACAACCCUAAUUAACUUGACUAUCUCAUUGGCCAGAAGCAGGAGCACACUUCCCAUUGAAAUCCUGAUCAAUGUAUGUGGUUAAAAUUGUUUUUAUUUUUAAAUAUUGUAUUGUUCUUUCAUUGUUCUUGUUGUUGUUUUUGCACUACAAAUAAGACAUGUGUAGUGUGCAUCGGAAUUUGUUUUUAUUUCUUUUUCAAAUGAUAAUCCGGCCCCUCAACAGUCUGAAGGAUUGUGGACCGGCCCUCGGCUUAAAAAGUUUGAGGACCCCUGGUCUAUAGGAAUUUGUCCUUUUUUUUCCCCAAAUGAUAAUUCGGCCCCUCCACAGUCUGAAGGAUUGUGGACCGGUCCUCUGCUUAAAAAGUUUGGGGACCCCUGAUCAUGGGUCUCGAGAUAGAUUUGGCAGCCUCUCCAAAUAAAAACCAUAAUCAACACAAUGUGUUCUUUCUCUCACGUUUCUUUUUUUUGCAACUGCCUUUUCUGCAGGGAAACACCAACGAGGCUUUGUACAAACUCUACAGCGCAGCCGCGACCCACAGACACUUGUACCACCACGCUUUCCCCACGGCGCAGAAGGCGGACCCCGCCGACGGCACGGAAAAGAAGACCAUGUGAGCCGGCCGAGGGGCGCGUCCCACGGAGGUGCAUGAAACUCGCGUCAUUAAACAUGUUAAUCGUUUUUUGCAUCCAUGUUGCCGCCAGCCUCUUAACACUCCUCAGAAAAAGGAAGGCCACGGAAACCGGUAACCCCCUUCACGCAUACCAAUGGCUUAAGUGUGGCUGCUUUCAUUCGGACAAUUCCUUGCUGAUACGGCAUGGCUGACCUUUUCCUUCCGAACACGGCGACUUUUAGUUUUGCUGCACACCAAGGAGGCUUGGGUUCUCCAGGAAAAUGCGGAUGGCGGGGCUUGUGAGAGGUUCGUCACCGGAGAAGGCGGCCGCUUCCAUCAAGGGCUUGGCUUUCCGAAAACCCUGCAAGUCGCCACAGCCCUCCUUCCCUGGCCCUUCUCCGCUCGGCCGCAGGCCUUUCCGAACCGAAACCACAAAGCCCUUAUCCGAGAGGGACCACGUCUUUGUAACUUUCUCCAGUUUGCGCACAAUGAUUUCUCACGGUUUCUUUCUUUCCUUCCUUCCUUCCUUCAUCCAAGCUGUGAAUGAUAAUUGAUUCACUUUAAAAAUAAAAGCGAGCGAGAGAGAGAGAGAUUGCCUUCGCGAAAGCUGCAAAGAAUAUUUCUUUUGCUACAGUAUAUUAAGAGAGAUGGAACGUUCCUUUUUUGUACAUGUGUUUGGGAGUUUCACUGUAUAUAUUUUUGUUCAGUGCAUAAAAGAGUGUGCCUAGUUUUUAUUAUUUUAUUGUCGAUUAAAAUGUUUGGUUCCUAUGACCAUGAACUCAUUUGUCCCUUUAUUCAUUGUUAGCUCCUUCUGCGGAAAACGUAUUCAUUCACAAGUGGUAUGUUGUGGCUGCGCAUCCUGUCCUUUAACGUCAGUGGUUCCCAAUCCUUUUUUGACCAGGAACCACUUUAACCAGGGACCACUUUCCAACAUUACUAACAAAUGGAGUUACAAAUCUGUUUUUGUUCAAUUUUAGAAUUGGUUUGGUUAUUUGGGGUGCUGAUUCAAAAACUGCAUUGGAUAGACCACAUCAGCUCUAGUUUCUGAUACAGAACAUAUGCCAUCAGUAGACACCAUCUGGAAAGGAGCAGAAAUAAAAUAAAUAUAGAGGAAAGAGAUUUGCGGACUGGAUUUUUGUUCAUGUGGCCCACUGCUGGGCUACGGCCCACAGGUUGGGAACCACUGUUUUAUGUUGUGGUUGUGCACGUUGUCCUUUACAU
rnacentral:lncRNA from 11 species